GGCACUUGAAGAGAAGUUCUCCUUGCCGUGUUUGCUUUGUUUAUGCUGAGUCAUAUGAGGGAAGGUUUGUGUUUUUAAGUU
rnacentral:pre_miRNA from 1 species